rnacentral:SRP_RNA from 1 species
GCCGGGCGCGGUGGCGAGCGCCUGUAAUCCCAGCUAUUCGGGAGGCUGAGGCAGGAGAAUUGCUUGAACCCGGGAGACGGAGGUUGCAGUGAGCCGAGAUUGUGCCACUGCACUCUAGCCUGGGCGACAGAGCAAGACUCUGUCUCAG